CACCUACGAAGUCAGAAGGUCGUUGUCACUGAUAAUGACCAGCUAUAUAAGUUUGGACACCUCUCAUGCUCUGAAGACAGCGGUCUCCACAGAAGGUGCUUAAAACAGUUUCACCAUGUUUUGGUUGCUUGUCCUUGUCGGCGUUGGUCUAACCAAUGCUGAUGACAGUUCUGGUGGCUCCUAUCUCAUUACAUC